GAAAUGCGAUAAGUAGUGUGAAUUGCAGAAUUCAGUGAAUCAUCGAAUCUUUGAACGCACAUUGCGCCCCUUGGUAUUCCAUGGGGCAUGCCUGUUCGAGCGUCAUUUUUACCUUCAAGCUUUGCUUGGUGUUGGGUGUUUGUCUCGCCUCUGCGUGUAGACUCGCCUCAAAACAAUUGGCAGCCGGCGUAUUGAUUUCGGAGCGCAGUACAUCUCGCGCUUUGCACUCAUAACGACGACGUCCAAAAGUACAUUUUUACACUCUUGACCUCGGAUCAGGUAGGGAUACCCGCUGAACUUAAGC
rnacentral:misc_RNA from 1 species